AAUCCAGUGUAAAUAUGACUUCUAAGCUGGCUGUUGCUCUACUGCUUUCUUGGCAGUUGCAUGCUUUCUGUAGCACUGUGUGAAGUGUGAAGCUUAUUCAUGAAGAGACCUCUGCCUGAACAUACAGCAAAUUUAAGAAGGUUGUGCAGAUAGUCUGAAGGAGGCUGGUGCAGCAUGGAAACACGGAUUUGAGCUCAUUACUCCAAUUUUCACGCUGAGUUUGGAAGGGUCCUAGAGGGACCAGCAGAGAGAAGAGAUUCCAUCUUCCAGAGGUUGCCACUGUCUGCCUCCCCACUUGUCCCCAUCCACAGUCAUCUUUUUUAUAUAUAUAAUGACACAUUAGUUGUCUAGUUCUUCAUAGUUAAUGUGGUUUAAGUCUGACAUCUUUUCUUUUGCCAUGAAAUUUACACCUUAGUGUUAUUCUCACUGAAAAUUGCCUUUGAGUUUGAUAAACUCUUAUCCCAGUGAUAUUGACUGUUUUAAAUUAACAGAUUUAUCACCAUUUCUGAGCUGUGUAGGGCCUUAAUUGAAAAAGUAUCUUUGAUUAUUUUUUCACAUUUUGGCCACAUGCCUAUAAUAAUGGAAUAUUUACAGUACUUUUUAGUGGAGAACUUUUUUAAGUAGAAUUUCAAUAAUUAAUGUUUGAUGGAGUUUGGAAGUUACCGUAUUUUGAAGUAUCGUUUAACAUUCUUCUCUCAAUGAGUUUUCCUUUAAAAUUUGCAGUGAAUUUGUUUUCCUGUUUAUGCAUGAGAAUUUAGGUCUUAUUAAUUGGGGGAAAUUAAUGUUAAAGUAAUAAAUAAGCCCUUGUUGCAGCUUAUUGUUUCUUGAAAUGAAUUAACUAUCCAGGCAAAAGGUUAAAAAUGAAAAAAAAAGUCUUUGUAACUAAAUUUUUCCCAUUUUGUUGUGGUAUUUGAGGAGUUUACAAAUCAAAAUGUCCUGGGUUAAAAGGCAUCA
rnacentral:lncRNA from 1 species